CCUACGGGUGGCAGCAGUGAGGAAUAUUGGUCAAUGGGCGCGAGCCUGAACCAGCCAAGUAGCGUGAAGGAUGACUGCCCUAUGGGUUGUAAACUUCUGUUAUAGGGGAAUAAAGUGCAGUAUGUAUACUGCUUUGCAUGUACCUUAUGAAUAAGGAUCGGCUAACUCCGUGCCAGCAGCCGCGGUAAUACGGAGGAACCGAGCGUUAUCCGGAUUUAUUGGGGUUAAAGGGAGCGUAGGCGGGUUGUUAAGUCAGUUGUGCAAGUUUGUGGCUCAACCGGAAAAUUGCAGUUGAUACUGGCAUCCUUGAGUACAGUAGAGGUAGGCGGAAUUCGUGGUGUAGCGGUGAAAUGCUUCGAUAUCACGAAGAACUCCGAUUGCGACGGCACCCUGCUGGACUGUAACUGACGCUGAUGCUCGAAAGUGUGGGUAUCAAACAGGAUUAGAUACCCGGGUAGUC
rnacentral:rRNA from 1 species